ensembl:piRNA 21ur-4448 ncRNA
AUAUUUUCGAGUUGAUGCGUG